rnacentral:rRNA from 1 species
UACGAAGGGGGCUAGCGUUGUUCGGAAUCACUGGGCGUAAAGCGCACGUAGGCGGAUCUUUAAGUCAGAGGUGAAAUCCCAAGGCUCAACCUUGGAACUGCCUUUGAUACUGGGGAUCUUGAGUCCGGGAGAGGUGAGUGGAACUGCGAGUGUAGAGGUGAAAUUCGUAGAUAUUCGCAAGAACACCAGUGGCGAAGGCGGCUAACUGGUCCAGCACUGACGCUGAGGUGCGAAAGCGUGGGGAGCAAACAGG